GAAAUUCUAAACUAAUAGGAGGCUUAUUGGGAGGGAUGAAAGCAAGGCAUGGUUGGAUGAAGGCAAGGAAUAGAAAACUUCAUUCCUAUUGGUCGAAGGCCAUGCCCAAUAGGCUUCAAGGAGGCUACUCGAGGCCUUAUUAGGGAUUAGGGUUUCUCUUUUGAAGUCAUUUGAGCUUUGGAGGCUAAGAUCAGCAAAUCCAGGAUUUUGGAUAUAAUUUGGAUAAAG
rnacentral:lncRNA from 1 species